rnacentral:sRNA from 1 species
ACAAAGAAAGAAAAAAGAUGUAGGUAGAGUGACUUUCAGAAAAAAUAGUGAACUUUACCUCCUUGUUAUCUUUGAAAUUGAAUGGGCUUCCGUUGGAUUAGGUUCGUGAGGGUGUGUUUUUUUUGUCGACAAUUUUAUUAGAUUGACUCAAAUAAGCCAAUGUUGAGAAAUAUUGUUUGCAAAUAUAAUAAUAUGUGUUUGGUUCAAUAUUUCGUGCCAAAUAAUCUGUUUUAAAAUUUCCACGAGUUAAAGAUAAAUCAAAAUCUGGAUAAUAAUUCGGUUUGUGUUAAAUCUGAAUUUUUCAGAAUAGUUGACUUAUACUUCAAGUUAAUUUGAGUAAUUAUAUAUAUAUAUAUAAAACUUACCGGGGAAUUGUAAAUAACAUCACACAAUACGUUUUUUUUAACAUUAAAAUACGAUUAAACUCGACAUAGAUUUGUUGAUCUACAUGUUUUCUCUCUCUUCUCUCUCCUCAUCUUUCAGAGAGAGCAAACCAGUUUCAGCUUUUCUGGCCGGCAAUGACUGGCUUUAUCAGCAGUGUUUGGUCGGCUUCUACUCUGGCAUCGCUGGCUUCCUUAGAAGCGUUGGUUGGCUCAGCUUCCGGCAUCGACCGGCUACUUUCAGCGGUGGUGGCUGGCUUAUCUCCCGAGAGCAAGAUAUCCUCUUUUUUGUUUCGCCGGGCUUUUCUCCGGCGUCUUUGGCCGGCUUUCUCUCCGGUUUCUUGACCGGAUUUAGAUUUGUUUUGUUUUUUUUAUCUUCUGCCUGUAGUUUAAAGAUUGAUGAACCCAAGUUAAAAAGAUGUUGAUUGAAGAAGAAGAGGAAGAAAAAGAAAAAGAAGAAGAAGAAGAAUAGCACUUCGUGGAGUCAAAUUCUCAUCCAAGGUACAACUGAAAUUUCGCCAUUAAUCCUUUGGGCGACGAGUGAGCUAUGCCAGUUGAACAAGUUUUCCGGUGUUUCAGCCGGAAUUGAAGCUUCUGACGGCGACUCCCUUCUCUUCCAGUUCCUACGUGUCCUUCAAAAUGUUUUCCACUGACACGUGUUUUCUAUGCGGCGCACAACAAUCACUUGUUCUCUUCCUUCAGUUUAGGGUUUAUUCAUUUGAGCUUUUGGGAAUUUUUUUUUUUUUUUGGGCUUGUUUAUUUCAGUUUUUGUGAAUUAUUGGCCUGUUAAUUUUGGCUCUAUAAUAUUAAUAAAACACACUUGU